GGAGGCCACAACACAAAACGAGGAAGGCGCGUAGAAAAGCUUUGGCUUAUUUCGUAAGGAACAAACGCCACGUCGGACAUGUGUGAACGCUACGUGGGGUCUUUGACUUCAACUCUCCCUUUUUCUUAAGUGUCUUUCACGCGCCGCCACCGUUAUCCCUCCCUCUCUUCUCUUUUCAUUUCACUGUUCCUUCAUUUCCACCACUCUUCCCCCUUCUAUAACACUUUUUCAUUUUCCUCUUUGGCCUUUUAUUCAUCCCUUUCUUUCAAUUCAUUCAGUUCUCUGCAUUCACUUUUUCAAUUCCAUGUGUGAGAUUAUUGCUUUCUAAUGGCCGAGACCACAAAAUACAUUCCCAACUCACAAUUAGAGCUUGAAGAGAUAUUGCAAGAAGCAUCACAUCGUUGGCUUCGACCUGUUGAAAUAUGUGAGAUACUUCGGAACUAUAAGAAGUUUAAGUUAACACCAGAUCCACCUAUUAGGCCUCCAGCUGGAUCAGUAUUCCUGUUCAAUAGAAAAGCACUUCGUUAUUUUCGCAAGGAUGGUCACAGGUGGAGGAAGAAAAAAGGUGGGAAGACUGUAAGAGAAGCUCAUGAAAAGUUGAAGGUUGGUAGUGUGGAUGUCUUGCAUUGCUACUAUGCCCAUGGAGAGGAUAAUGAAAACUUCCAACGAAGAAGUUUUUGGAUGCUUGACCAGCAGUUAGAGCACGUUGUCCUUGUUCAUUAUCGUGAAAUUAAAGAGGGCUGCAAAUCUGGCAUCUCUCCUUUUCCGGUAGUUCCAGUAACCCUGGUUGGUAGCUCUCAAAAUAGUUCAGUGCUUUCCUCUACCAGAACAAACACACCAAUAUCUAUAGUUCAAACAUCUUUCACAUCAAGUGCAAAUAAAGUGGAUCAGAAUGGACACUCUUCAGAGUAUGAGGAUGUCAAUUCAAAAGAUGGUCCUCAAUCCUCCUCUCAUGCUCAGCCUAUCAGCAAUUCCGUAAUUCACAGUGCACCUUCGUUUACACAUGAAGUUGCUGGGUUUUCUGAGUUGGUGAGGAACCCCUUGAUUUCAACGUUGUCAUCUACUUUCCCUAGUUAUUCUCCUGGUACUGUCUUCUCUCAGAGGAGGUUAGUUCAGAAUUCUAGCAGAAACAAAAUUUAUAUGCAUGAUGAAAGACAUCAGACUGAAGGAUCUGUUGAAAGCUCGGAAGCUGACUUCACUGUUCAUCUGCUAAACAAUGCUAAGAUAGAUGCUGUUAACAGAAUGCAAGAUGGUGUAAUUUUCAGAGAUAGCCACAUGUACAUCCAACAAGUUGAAGAAAAUUUACUGACUGUUGGUCAGGUGCAAAACGAGGAUGGUCUAGAUAUAUUCUAUGCUCAAUUAUAUGAUCGUAAUGAUCAUCCAAUUGUUGCAACUACCAAAGCGCUAGUUGAACAGAAACUUAAAGAUGGGGAAUCAAAGCAGGCUGAAUCUGGGGAAAUCAAGAAACUUGAUAGUUUUGGAAGGUGGAUGGAUAAGGAGAUUGGUGGAGACUGCGAAAAUUCCUUGAUGGCUUCAGAUUCUAGUAAUUAUUGGAGUACACUUGGUGCUCAUAAUGAGGAUAAGGAAGUAUCUAGUUUACAACCCAUACAGUUGGAUAUGGAUUCAUUAGGCCCUUGUCUUUCCCAAGAGCAACUAUUUAGUAUCCAUGACUUUUCUCCAGAGUGGGCAUAUACUGGGGUUAGAACAAAGGUUUUAAUAGUUGGCACAUUUAUCGGAAGUAAAAAGCCCUCUAGCGAAACCAAAUGGGGAUGUAUGUUUGGUGAAAUUGAGGUUUCUGCUGAAGCUUUAGCAGGUAAUGUGAUACAGUGUCAGACUCCUUUGCACUCAUCUGGCCGUGUACCAUUCUAUGUUACCUGCAGUAAUAGGUUAGCUUGCAGUGAGGUCAGGGAAUUUCAAUUUGAUGAACAUCCAACCAAAAUUUUAGGUCCUUUGGGUAUUAAAAUCUCACCAGAAGUUGAGGUCCGACUUCAAAUACGACUUCUUAAACUAGUAGACUUGGGACCUGACAAUAAUUUGUUGGACUGCUCUGUUUCUGGUUGUGAAAAAUGUAAACUCAAGGGAAUAAUGUAUUCCGUGAGAGGUGAUAGUGGAGUAUUUAAAGAAACUUUCCAGAUUGAUGGAAUCGAUCAUAUAAACCCGAGAAAUGUACUAUUUCAGAGAUUAAUGAGAGACAAGCUUUAUGAGUGGUUGAUAUACAAGGUUCAUGAAGGAGGAAAAGGAUUACAUGUGUUGGAUGCUGGGGGCCAAGGAGUAAUACAUUUAGCAGCUGCACUUGGUUAUGUGUGGGCUAUGGCCCCGUUGGUUGCUGCUGGUAUCAGUCCUAACUUCAGAGACAAUCCUGGAAGAACAGGACUUCAUUGGGCUUCGUAUUUUGGGAGAGAAGAAACUGUUAUUGCUCUUGUCAAAUUAGGCGCAGCACCAGGUGCUGUUGAGGAUCCAACUUCAGCACUUCCUCCAGGUCAAACAGCUGCUGAUUUAGCUUCAAGUAGAGGACAUAAAGGCAUUGCUGGGUAUUUGGCCGAGGUGGAUCUGAUAAAUCGAUUAUCUAUACUGACUGCCAAGGAAAAUGAGACUGGUAACAUUGCCACAACCAUAGCAACUGACAGUGCUUUUCAGUCUGCUGAAGAUGAUUCGUCUAAUUUUACAAUGGAUGAGCAACACUAUGUCAAAGAGUCCCUUGCUGUGUUUCGAAAAUCAGCUCAUGCAGCUGCUUCAAUCCUAGCAGCCUUUAGAGCAAGGUCAUUCUGUCAGAGACAAUUAGCCAAAAGUGGAAGUGAUAUCUCAGACUCGGUACUCGACAUAGUUGCCGAUUCUUUGAGCAAGGUACAGAACAUGUAUCACUUUGAGGAUUAUUUACAUUUUGCGGCCUUAAAGAUUCAAAAGAGAUAUCGUGGAUGGAAAGGAAGAAAGGACUUUUUGAAGAUACGCAACCGCAUUGUAAAAAUCCAGGCUCGUAUCAGAGGACAGCAAGUUCAAAAGCAAUACAAAAAAGUUGUGUGGUCUGUUAGCAUUGUGGAAAAAGCAAUACUUCGUUGGAGACGGAAAGGAGCUGGUCUGCGAGGAUUCCAGGGAGGGCAGCCGGUUGGCAUUGAUGAAUAUGACUUUCUUAGUGAUGGGAGGAGACAGAAAUCAGAUGAUGUAAAGAAAGCUCUCGAUAGAGUCAAGUCCAUGGUUCGUAACCCAGAUGCAAGGGAUCAGUACAUGAGGCUCAUCAUGAAAUACCAGAAUUUUAAGAUUGAUGAUAGCGGAAGCACUCAAUCACGUGUCGAUUAGACUCCAGAGGAAGGAAAAAGCAGUACUGAGCACUUUUUGUUUCCAACAGAUACUACAUACAGGUCUGGUUGUGGUUGCAAGUGGUGGAGAGACUGCGUCACUCGCGUCUGGGCUUCUCGGAGGUUGGCUGCGGUGGAGAUUGGGCUUGUGCAGGUGGUGGCCGAGGCAUCAUGCGGCGACUUUGUAGCGCUAGUGGAGCACGGUGGCUUGUGCGCUUUCUGUUGCUGGGUUGGUUUUUUUUCUGAGUGCAGGUUUGAAGAUGGUUGACCAUGGAGGUUGAACGAUGGCAUGGUAGCGAUGCGAACAGAUGAGCUCGCGAGAGGAAGGAGAAUGUUGUGGUGGUGUGACUUUGUGGUGGCGAGAUGAUGAUGGCAGUGAUUGCUGUGCGACGGCGACCUUGGACGAGCUCAUGGUGGCCGGUAAGAGUCGCUGGGUGGCUGCCAUGGAGGAGGUAGCGACGCAGGAGAAGGAAUUUUUCCACUUUCCCCCAAUCCGAAACCCUAAUUUUGGGUGGGGAAGACGUGGCAGGUAGUGGACAGACAAAAUGUGACAAUGCCGUUAGCCACCUCACCAAAAAAUUAACGCUAUCCAAAUUUAGGGACUACUCGUACAUGUUUCCAUAUUAGAAGGACGAAAUGCCAUCAAUGCAGGGACUAAAAUAAAAAAUCAGUGAAACUUCAGGAACUAA